rnacentral:rRNA from 1 species
UGGGGAAUAUUGCGCAAUGGCCGAAAGGCUGACGCAGCGACGCCGCGUGGGGGAUGAAGCAUUUCGGUGUGUAAACCCCUGUUGCUCGGGACGAACAAUCGGCUUUAGCCGAUCUGACGGUACCGGGUGAGGAAGCACCGGCUAACUCCGUGCCAGCAGCCGCGGUAAUACGGAGGGUGCGAGCGUUGUCCGGAAUCACUGGGCGUAAAGGGCGCGUAGGCGGUCUGCUAAGCGUGUGGUGAAAGCUCGGGGCUCAACCCUGAGUCGGCCAUGCGAACUGGUGGACUAGAGCACUGUAGAGGCAGGUGGAAUUCCGGGUGUAGCGGUGGAAUGCGUAGAGAUCCGGAAGAACACCGGUGGCGAAGGCGGCCUGCUGGGCAGUAGC